rnacentral:ncRNA from 1 species
CAGAGUAGGCAUCCAUGCGUUGACCGUAACACGGUCUGGAGUGUCGUACGCACAGGGAGUUGGCGAACGGACGAAGUGCAUAUUGCUGCGGUAUGGGUGCCGCAUCCCGCUG